CGGACAGCGCCCGGUUCUCGCCCAGCCCUCCCCCGCUGCCUGCGGCGGACGCGGGGCCGUGGGCCGGCGGGCUUGGGAGCCGGUUUCACUUUGCAGGGGGAAGCCCGGUUUAAACACAUGCGAGCCACGGGAAAACCGGGAUUCGGCCGGUUUGUCCUUCGAGGGCUGGCAGCCGGCGGGCGUCGGCCUCCCCCGCGGCAAAGGUGUGCGGCGGAGAUCGGAAGGGCGAAGGCGGCCGGGCUGGGGAGGUGGGAGCCCGCGGAGGCGGCUCGCACGGCUGCCCUGCAGCGCGCUUCCCAGCCCCGCUGCCGUCCCCACCGCCAGCGCCAGUCUCGGGCGCGCACAAGCCGAGCCGAGUCAGUUUAUGGAUGCCAGGCGCCGGCAAGACUCGUGUCGGCGGUGCCCGGGGCUCCCGCCUGCCUCCGGCGGUGCGGAACGCGGCAAUAAGCGAGUCAUAUUCCCGCCUUCGUUUUUGCAUCUCAAUGCAACGUGCAGACAAAGCCAGCGCUAUCACCAAGGGGGAAACCGAGGCACGGAGCAGUCACAAGAGUAAAACGCAGGUGUCCCGUGCCCUCGCCCACGAAUCAGCAUGGGCCAGCCCUGGGGGACCCUGGCUGCCCGCUGAGUCUCUGGGCAGGGGUGUAUGCACACACGAUCCCCGUCCUCCACACCUCUGCCGUGACAUAACCCUCCUCUCCCAGGCAGGACCGACACUACAGGAGCAGCACGAAGGACGCAGUGACUGCAAAGCAUCCUACCAGCCCUGCAAACCACGCCGCCGUCACCGCCGCGGACGGGUCCAGCACCGCCCCCUCCUUACGAGAAGGAUCGUCCAGCAUAGAGGUGACUUUCUGCUCUGGGACACAGAACUGUUCACCUCUGAGUGGUUGCCACGCUGCUAUUGACAGCUGGGAGAGUGCUGGGACACUGCCUGGACCACCACCUGACGUCUCCUCUCCCCCUUCUCUGGCUCAUUGCUGUGUCAGUGACACAGAAGCUCAUUCAUAACACUGGGCUGACAGAGGAUGCUUAACUAAUGUGGAGACAUGGAGACUGCCAAAGCACUACCAUCCAUUUGCCAGCUCGUAAAACGUUGCCCCCAAAGCUGCAAAAGUUAGUAUGUGAAUGAUAUCCUGCAGCAGACAGCCCUGCUAAAGAUCUUUGGAGGUACCAAGAAAUCCCUUCUGUCCCUGCAACUUACAGGACUGGAUGGCAGACAACUUGAAAGCAAAUGCAGGUCUAGAAUUUCUCAUCAUCAGACCUAGAUUUUCAGAGGCAAUUGCUUCCCUCUUGCCAGCACAGUGAACUGUUUAAAAUAGCUGUCCACUCAUUGCUGUGCCUUACUGUUGUUCUGUUUCUAACCUUCUCAUACUAAUGUCUUCAUUUGCAGUCAUAGACUUUCCCACUGAAGCUAGUAGAGCAUCUCUUGGGGCAAAGGGACCAGGGGCAGGAUCACAGGCUCAGGUCUGUGUUAUAUUAGAGAAACUAAAUAGUGAUUUUCAACUGAUACUUUCAGAGGUGAAAUUUCUGUCAAUGCUGAUACUUCAGGUUGCUAAAAACAAGCUUUCAUUCAAAGUCUGAUGGAAUCUGGAACCUGGGAGAAGUCUAUCUUCCUAUUGAUUUGUUGAUUCUCAUUCCUGAUUCCCAUUCUAGCACCCACUUUGUGCUGUUGUAUUUCCCUCUUGCCUUUGUACUGGCAACCUAGUACUAGGCUGGCUUGCUGGAGAGGAUCUGAACUGAAAGAAAAUGCAAUGCCAAUGGCUGCAAAGGAGAACUGUGAACUAACAUGGGUUCUCUCCUGCCUCAUCGUGAUUAGUUUUGUGUCUAAGAUAGUAAAUACUGUCAGUUGUUUCCAUGCAUGUGCAAGAGAAAUCAAAACUCAGGGCCCCAGUUCCUGGGCUGUAUAGGAGGACCAAAAGUUCAGCUUUUAUUUAGAAGAAUAAACCCUCCCAAACUCCUUCUUGCUUCACUGGUAAUCAGUGUUGUAAAGAGAUGCUUGAGAAUAAGAUAUGCAACCAAUUAAUCUUAAUCCAUAGAGAGCUGGAAACAAAACCUUGAUGAUAUAAAAAGUACAACCUUCAUCUUUGUUGUGAUGUGUAAAAACAUCCAACAAGAGGUUACAGUGAAGGGAAAGGCCUGCAGCAAAGGUAUGCAACCAGGAGAUUCCACGAAGAUGAAGCUAGAGGCACCAAACUGUACUGAUUUAGCCCUCGCUGCAUCUAAGAACCCUGGAUUCAUCCCACUGGUCUUACUAUGUUUGACAGGAGCAACAGGUGAUGCUUUUAUCAUGGUGUCUGAUAGAAAAGUUUUAUUACUUCAUGCAGAUCUAUCAUAGUAUCUUGCUGCAGGUAUCAUGGGAUUUACUUGAUUGUCCCUUCUAUCCCUGCUUAGUCCACUUCAGCCUGUACAAACAUAGCACAGGAAUCUUUUCUUUUUUUGUUUUAAACUCACUAGAGCAAUUACACAUCCUACCCCUAAUGUUUUAACUGUUUCUUUCCAGAGCUGGAAAUUCACUUUGGUACUGCUUUGUGCUAAUGGUGAGGAACUGCAGCAUAAAUCUGAUUACAAGCAGAAGUGAACAGGAUGAAUUUUAUAUCCAGCAUGUAAUCUGCAUGAGGUGCAGAAAUGUCAGAAAACAGAGUUUUAAAAAUCUACCCUCUUAGACCACUGAAGUUUGAUCCAUACCUCAGAGACUUUUCAUCUGAUUGACAAACAGCCUCUUCUUGAGAGCAUUCAGCCUGUCAGAGGGUGUUUAGGAAAGAGCCACCAUUAAAGAAGAAUGGAACUACUCAUGUAUAAGAGGUCUCUGAGACCUGAUCAUUGAGGUGAAAUCACAAGGGAGUCACAGGACUGUAGCCAUUGGUUUUAUUACCCCAUUGGCACUGACUGGCUUCCCAACCUGCGACCUUUUAUCAGUCACAUGAGAGGUCCCACAAAAUUAAGUACAGCUGCAAGAAGUGCUGCACCUUGUCUUUAACUAAAUACAUUCUGAGUGUGAGGUUUUUACAUGGCUUUUCUCACCCAGACCCAAGGAGAGGUUUUUAUGGGCAGAAGCAGCUCCAGACCUCACUAAGACUUCCCAGCAGAAGUCCUUGACUAAGACAUGUUGACUAAUACUUGCCAGCAGUGGGGACAGACAGGUCCUGACAUGGGGCCUGACAAGCAGCCUGGCUUGUCACCACUUUCCUGUGGGCACUUUAUGAAGACCUUGGCCCAUGUUGCUGCUGCAGGGUCAGAUUUGCCUGCCAUGCCCAUGGCUGCUGCUUCCCACCACUCCUCUCGUGAUGGCUUUUAGCUAGAGCUACCAGUCUGUUGGUCAGACUGGGCCAUCGACCUGGCUGGUAAUGCACCACUUUCCAAUGGGUGGGUUAGUUUGUGGAAAAAGGAAACAAAUGCUCCAAAGAGGGAGAUCAUUCUUCUUCCAGUGAAAUAGCAGCCUACAUUUACCAAUUUUUCCUAAAGGUAUGGUUUGGUUCUUAGACAGAAGUACCAGGAGACUGUGAUGAUCCACAGCUUUUGUGUCAGUGUUUCAAACCUCCUCUGGGGACUCCUCUGAGUCUCUCCUGAUGUGCUCUGAAAGUGAUUAGGAGACCUCACAGACUAGGUUGCCUACAGCUUGCUACAAGACACAGCUAAUUCUGAUAUUGUAGCCAUGCUAGGAAAAGUGCAUGGCCUUCCUAGCAAAGGGAAGAAAUGAGAUCAUAAACUGCAAAUGGAUUUCUUUCCCCCUGCCAUCCUCAGGUUACCAAGAUGAAGAAAGUAAAAGACUAGCAGAUAAAGAAGUUCACUCCCACCCCCAGGCUUAUAGCCUAAUACUUGAAAGGCAAACAUGAAAGAGGAACAAAUGGAAAAUCAAGUGAAAGCAUCUCUCCAUUAAUGAUCCCUCUUUCCCCAAAUUCUUUCCUAUUUGCACAGAUAAAAGAGAUAGUCAGGGUGGCACAAAGAAUCUAUGUGUGGGGCAUACAAAACUUAAUUGGGAUCCUCCUCCUACCCUGGAUUAAAUUUUCAGUGCAAUAAAGACAGAGCUCACAUGCCUCCACCUCUAAACACCACCUAGUUCGUAUAAAAGGAGAAAUACAUCCCUUUUAAUUCAGCUAUGCCAUACAGAGGGGACUUGCAAGAUGAAGCUCAAUCACUCUAACACAGAGCAGUGCAAAACUAUGACAUUUCAAACUGGGAAAACUCUUUGCAUAGUUGCAAAGUGCUGGGAAAUGAACUGGCACAUUAGGCCUCUUGAUUUCAUUAGGACACUUGAACAUUUACAGUGAAUUUUCUGGCCAGAUAUUACUGCAGCCACUUGGCAGAUGGGGAAACUGAGUCCUAGGGUGGUAGCUCAUGUUGAAUCAUGCAAUAUGUCAGUGGCAGACCCAGAGCUGCAAAGCAGGAAUCCCUGCAUCCCAGUUCCACUCUCAGGUCACUUAUUGCCCAGGUGCUGCAUAAGACACUGCAAAGCUGCUCAGCAGAAUGAUACAUUACCAGUAAGCGAGGGAAGGAUGCUCCUUCAGUGCUGGUGUUGGAAGGGCUGGCAGCUUCUUUAAUUCAUUCCUUACAACUUCAUUGCUGAAAGAGAGUUCAAAAGGAGGAUCAGGCUACAAGAAAACAACCACAAUAUUUGAUAUGACCUGACCUAGCUGGCAGGCUGCUACAGCUCUACAUCUGUUCCUCCUUAACAAAAGGCACUGGGGUUUCCUUUUUCUUCUCUCUUUAUUUGUUUUAUGGCAGCCCAGUUAACUUUUCCCUCUAUUAUCAGAAUUGGAAGGAAGCUCUCCCAGAUGGUUGUGCUGAAGCACUUCCUACUAGUGACUGGACACAAAAGCUACCAUGUCACAUUUCAUUGAGCAGGGUCUCACAGAUGUGUUCAUAUACAUUAAAAGAAAAAAAACAAGGGGAAGAGAAGAAAAAGUGAUGCUUUCAGCUGCAAUAAAACACCUUUAUUUAGUGCUUUACAACCUGCUGCAAAAAGUAGUGAUUUGCUUUCUUAGCAUUAUAGGUUGUUUUUAGCCUCUUGCCCCAGCAACCUGGCCUUUGCACAUCCUCACUGACAGAGCUCUGGCUUGAAUUUGUGCUGUGCUACACAAAACCCUCCAUGGGACAAGGCUCAGGCAUUUGGCUAACUUUCUCCUCCCUGCAACCUUGAGUGACCACGCUGGCCAGCUGGAGCAGCAUCUCCGCACACCAGUGAGCAGGGACAGCACAUGGAGUGGGAAGCAGAUUCUCACAGAUUAAAUGUAACCACAACAUUUUCUCCUACAAACCCCAAAUGCCUCCCUUCCCACUUUUAAACACACAAGGAAUUGUGUGCACAUGAAAACAAAAAUCUCUGAGGCUUGGGAAGGAAGGUAGUGUUGCUGUUACUUUUAAAACUGUAGAAAUACAGAGCCAAGAAGGCCAGACAGGACACUAAGGAGUGCCAAAGAAUUAAUGUUUAGUGGAUUACUUCUUAAUAGCAGGGUUUAUUCUGUCUUCUUGUAUCCUGCCCUUUAUGCUGCCAAGUGUAACUGUCCUGGAGCUGUGGAGAGAGAUGCCACCUCCAGAUUUCCCAGCCCACUGCCUUCUGGAGGGCAGCAGGGUCAUUAGCCAGGCAGAUAGGUAGUCUUGGCAUCCCCAGCCAACUAGACCAGUCAUUCUAACAUUUGCUGAAGGCCCAAGAAGCCCUUGUACAUGCCAGGUCACCCUGAGUUUUGUGCUUGUCUCUGGAGCAGUCUACAUGGUGGCUUGUAGAGAUGUGAUGCUGCUUCAGUUGUAAGAAUCUUCCCACAAUGUUUCUCCAUUUGUGCACCUCAAAAGCAAGCUCUGCCUGAGACCUAGGUAGGUUUUGUCUUAAUUGGAGUUUGUGGGUUAAUUGCUAGGUUAGGCCAUAGGGUAAACCACUAACGUCAAUCCCAAAGCAGCCAUGUUGGGUACAACUACAGGCAUUUAUUAUCAUGGUAGUUCCCUGGCAAUCAAGUGGAUAGUUUCAAAACAGGUCCAUAACUUCUAGUCAAGAGAAAUCUAGGACAGAGGUGCCCACAUCUCUACUAGGUACAAAUAUUUUGCAGAGUGAAUUGUAGAAUCAUAGAGUGGUUUAAGUUGGAAGGGACCUUUAAGAUCAUCCAGUUCCAACCUCCAGCCAAGGGCAAGGACACCUUCCACUAGACCAGGUUUCUCACAGCCCCAUCCAACCUGGCCUUGAUGAGUGAAGAUGUGUAGAACAACAAUUACAAGAAAUGACUAAGGCAACCACUUCUGUGCUGAGCAUAUAAAACCCCACUCAGUAGCACCCUAUAGGCCAAGUCAAGUGGCUCUUGACAAACAGAGUUUGAACAUCCACUCCUGCCUUAAUCCCACGGUCAUUUGACCAUCAGAUAGAUCUUCCUGUGUGAGUGCAAAUGCUCAAAAGCUAUUCAUAUUUUUUCUUCCAUGGCAGGUAAAUAUCUGCACAAGUCUGAACAAGAAGCUGCCCUGUUCUGUGUUAUCUGCUGAUCUGACUGCUCUGUUCUGCCACUGACAGCCUAGACAGCAAGCUGUUGCUGUUUACAGAGUUUACUGGGUCUGCCCAGAGACAUCUCCUCCACAGCAUAUACACAGCUUACUGAGUUUUUUGACAUUUUGAAACAAACUAACUAAAAGAAUAGAAAGCAGCACAAUCAGAGCACAAGCUGCAGUUCCUGCCCUCGAGUGAAGAUUUUGUGAGGCUGGCUCCUCGUAGAAGGAAGUUGAGAAAUUUGCAAAACGUUUCUGGGAAAGCAGGGAGUGAUUUCCAAACAGGGACUUUCUGAGCACAGAAAGCUGUCAAAUAGGGCAAGAUUAGUGGUGACUAACUAUCUUUGAGAGUCUGGGAAAAAGCACGAAUCAGUAUAUGCUCCCAUAAAAGAAAUGGCUAAUACCAGUCAGCUCCAUCUUUUUCUGUCAGUGAGGAGUAAAGUUUGUUUGCACUGCGAUUGGGAGUCAGAGAAAAAGCCAGUCUUAGUGGUGUUGUUGGAUGGGAUUAACAUUUCUGCUCAGUCCUUAGAAAACACUGUAAAGGUAAUGCCUCACAACUUCAAAGUAACUAAAAUAUUUCAGGUAAUCCCUUCCAGGAACAAAAAGGCAUUUCAUUCUGUGGUCCAUAUAUUCACUAAGCCUUCUGGCAAGACUCAAGACAAAUGAAUUUAGACUCCCAAAAGGAUGAGAAAUCAAGAAAAAGCUAAAAAAAUAACAACUUGGGAUGCAUUUGAACUAGUGGCCAUGAGGUCACUUUCCCCUUGGCUACUUUUAAAACACCAAACUCCUUAAUUUUUCAAAUGUUUCCAGCAGGAUCACAAAUGGUUUUGUACUUACUGCCUUUCCUGCUCUUGCUGGAGAAAUAUCUCGUUGUGUUAAUUUUGUUACUGUAUUCAGAAAAUGUUUGUUUUAUCUGGUUGCUUAUGCUGCAUUUAUAUUUGACAGUGUCCAACCUCCAGGGCUGUUAAAUAUGGAAGGGUGCUUUUAAUACAGAUUUAUUAAUACACAGGGGGAAGGCUCCAAAGACACUUCCUUGUGUCCUCUAGACAGCUUUAUUCCUGCACUAUGGAGGAAAUGAUAACAUUUAAAAGAUGAAUAACAAUAUGAAAGUGAUCUGAAAAAGCCAUCUGCAUGGGUUCCUGAAAGCUGGUGAGAUAUCCAGAAAUAAGGUCAACUCACUUGGAGAAUGGACCUAGAAAGAGAACUAUCGAGUUCUGGUCUUAGUUCUGGUACUGUCUGUUUAAUGAGUCUUGGCCAAAUAAAUUAGGCACAUCUCAGUAUUUCUAGCUACAAAUGGGGGUAAAAGGCCUACCUUGCCAUUUCAUAAGCAUUUUGUGAAAAACAAGCUUUUGCAAAGUGGCUGCAAUAAUUUUGAGCAAGAUAACAUAUGCAGUUGAAAUCUGGAAAUCCAUACAUUUUCCAGCAUGUAUAAUAACAAUGGUCAGUAACAAAACAAAGCUGCAGGUUAAAGUUGUCAGCUCUUCUCAGCAAGGUAAUUUAUUCUGUUGAAUGCAAAAGGAAAUGCAGAGUCUGAGAUUCUCAGAUUAAAGUGUAUCAUCUGAAAUACAGUGGUUAGGAUCAUCUCCAUAAUAUUGUUAAGAAUUCAGCUUGGGUUUUGUAAGCCCUUAAUAAAUUCUAAUUGGUUAAAUGACGCUCAGUUACGUGGAAAGAAAAGUAAGUCUGAAACUAUGUUAGAUUGCCAUCUGCCCAAAUGCUGAAAUUAUUGGGAAAAAAAUCUGCUUAACAGGAAACUGGCUCUUUGCUUUCAUCUGUUAUUCUUUCACAUGUUACUGGAGAUACUUGAAACGUCUCAUAUUGCUUAACAGGAAGAAAUCUUAACGGGGAGAAAUCUGUCUGAGGAACUAGCUGCAAUGGUUCAGGAUUUUGUUUCAGUUAGGGACUUUUCUUUCUCCUCCUCAAACUGAGGGACAAAUGAUCAGAUCUCCAGCUGCUUUGACACAGAUGCUGUUUCAGGUUGAAGAGAUGGAUACUGAACAUUUAAAACCAAAGCUGGUGAGUUUCCCAAAGAUUUGGGUCAGUGUCAGACUGGAUUCUAAAUCUUGUUUAAUUAUUUUAGAGGAAACAUCUCAAUUAGUUUAACAGUAUGUGAAACUCCCCCCAAAAUUAUCCAGGAUACCCUGGUUCCUUCCUCUAUGUAGGCCUAAAUAGGGUCAUACUUGUAGGACUUGUGUUCAUCUGAGGAACUGAAAUUUGUCAUCCCCAUGCUCUGCCAACCAACUGUCCUAUUCAACCUAAGAAUCAGCUGAAUAUGGAUACUCUACAGUCCGAAAUUCAGUAGUAUAUCUCAGCCUAAAUGUAAACUUUUUUCAGUGGAAGCACUUGGUGAGUCUUUAAAUAACGUGAAAACCUUUCUCCUUUAAUGCAGAGGAUUAGGAACUUAAGGAGAAGAACUGUCUGUUUUAAACCUCGCUCUGCCUAAAGCUGUAUCAGCUGUGAUGUGCCCUUUGUAUAACUCUGCUUGCAAAACACUGAGUUGGACAAGGCCACUUACUGCAAACACUGAGAAAUACUCUUCUUAGUUGAUCUAAAUCAAAGUUUCAGAUUUCAUUUUUGAAAUGAAAUGCACAACAGAAAUGGAACGAGACUUAAGUCAGAUUGGUCACUAUAGAUGCCAAACUGAUCUGUCGGGGCUCUUAGGGCAUCUUAGUUCAAGACAGAUGAGGGUGACUUGGACUAUGUGCUCUCCAGGCUUACCAAUCACUGGGCAGUCAUUGUGGUACCUGAGUUAAGUGGUACUCCCAGGUGGCAAGAAUCAGCACUAAGAGACUCAUGCAUGAUGAUGCCCUACCAAAGGAGAUAGGGCAUGUGCUUGAAGUGACAUGUAAGCUCCUUUUCGGGAAAGGAAACAGAAGUCCUAUGAGCACAGCCAUUACUCUAAGGCAUGGGAUUAUUCCCACAAAAGCAGCAGUGGGGGCUGCUGUCAUUGCAGAUGCAUCAGUUCACAGAGCUGGAAAACUGACUGACUGCUAGAGUUUGUAAGAUCAGGUAUGGUUUUUUUUUGAGCUCUCAUGGGGCCUGAAAAGCAGACUUGUAACUGCACUCAGGAGGCCUGAACCAGAUCCUGGGUGCAGUGGAGUUUGGAGGUAAUCAUGCUCUGGGCACCAUGGGUAGGUAUCAACUCACAGCUGAAACUGAGACAAUUUGGCACUGGCUAUCCCAGCACCUGAGGUGAUCAGCAGCAACUGAAAAGAAGGCUCCCAUGGGGAACAGCAAUUAUCCCAUCACUAUAAAUGAGCCAAUGCUUAUGAACUUUUCUGGAUCAGGGCCAAAGAGAAACUUGUAGUCUCACAGGCUAUAAAUUUGAUGGUGGCAGUAGACAGGACAGGUGUGGGAAAUAUGCAGUCGGCGUUCCAAACAUGCAACCCUUCAGAAUUCACUUAUUUCUUCAAAAAACCAAAGCAGGAGUUCAAGAGUUCAGCCUUCAUGCAAUGUGUGCUGCCAUGCACAACGUAUUAUCUUCAAAUCUCAGCAGCAAGACAUUCACAACUGCAGAGCUUUGCUGUUUCAAAGAGUAACCACUUCUAUUUCAAACAGCAUUUCAGUGUCAACUUCAGACGCUGAAGCUGACUUGAGCUCUAAGAGGAGUCAGAACAUUUGUCUCCAUCUGCGGUUCCGCUGGCUGGCCCCAGUCUUGAUCUGCCUCCCAGAUUUUACACUGCUGAUAGGAACAACCACAAAUCUCAGCAGGCAAAACCUUGACCACAAUGACCUCAUGUUGACUUCAGUAGCACCUGGAUCUCACCUAGCACAUAAACUCACGUCAAUGCACAUUAGAGGGGAGCUGGACUGACAUUCCUGGAGAUGCUGAGUCCUCUCCUAGACCAUGAAGGUCGUGAUAGUGUUCUUCUACCUUCCUCUAAGGAUAGGCUUUAAACUUCACUUGCCACCAAAGCCCAUUUAUAACUUAGGAUCCCUGGCUGUGUCAGCAAGUUGUUAUUAUGACACCACUUCUGUUCUGUCUGACUUGGACGUAAAGAAUUCCUCUUCCACUUCAAAGUCCACUGGUGGAAAGGAUUGAGAGGUGUAUUAAUGAGAAUGGAGAUGACUGCCACACUGGUGUGGGGGAAGCUGUUAACACCAUGUGUUGAGGUAUCUUCUGUGGUCUCAGAGAAGAUUCCUCAUUUCUCUGUGGCCUAGAGAAAUGUGCUAUGAUAAGUCCAAACAUUCCUUUUCAAAGGGACAUCAAACAGCCUUUAGCAGAUGGAUGCUUUCCACCAAUUGUUUCCACUUCUGGUC